rnacentral:lncRNA from 1 species
UCACUUUACAGAGGGAGCCAGCCUGCUCAGGCUGCCGAGGUUUUGCAGCUCUCACAGGACACUGAAAAAUCCAGCAAUCAGACCUGUGCAGCCGGAAUGCUUCCACAGGAGAUGGCAGUGCACAGAAACAGCGCAUUAUCUAAAAACAGCCUCGCACAAUAUGUUUCUAUGGACAUCAGAAACCAAUCUUUGAAACGGUCCCCGAUGAGGGCCAUGCUGGCCCGAGCUGCAUUCUGAAAGUGUUCCAAUUCCUCCUUUGUAUCCGGCCUGUGUUUAUUGGAGAAAGAGGAUCCUUUACUUCAAAGGGGACAAAAGGAAGAAGAAAUGAGAGCAACCGAACAUGGCCUUCAUGUGGAUCAGCUCCUAGUAACAGAAGCAAUGUGGGAUUGCUGAACUGUCAGUGGCCUAAGCAACAACACUAGCUCAUAGAAAAACUCUUGAGUCGUAUAGUGGAAAAUAAAUACAAAAACUGCUAAGAUGCUGUCAAUGAGCAGGAGCAGAGCUUUUGUUUAGACAGAGAAGGGAACUGCAGAGAAAACCAGCUUUUUUAACCUGAAUAUGCAGCGCUUCUUGCACAUGGAGAGGGGAAGCAGAGACUGGGAACAAGUCUGAAGUGGAGCCACACAAUGCCUGGUGUCAAAGCAAGAAGUGGGGUGGAUCUCCGCAAAAAGCGAGACCUGAGUUGAUGACAGAGCCUCUGACAAGAAAGGUAGCAAAGAAAUCACAGAAAUAUUCAGAGAAACUUCUAGCUUGCACAAAUUCACAGGAAAGAUCAACUGUCCAUUGGCAAAAGUAUAUAUAAUUAUGGCACUAAAAUGAAGUUGUUUUAAUCUUCACAAUAAUUAUCAACAUGUACAGCAGCUACUAUAAGAAAAAUAAUUGCUAACAUAAGAAAGGAACAGCUUGUUCACUUUUUUUUUUUUUUUUCCUCUUGAAUAACAUUUUGCUAUUUGCCUGUUGCCCAAAAACUUGUUUGGGAUCAUUAAAUAUAUAAGGGGAUCAGAUAUCUAUAUUUUACCUUUAUGUCAAAUAUUUACAUGUCAUACGUAGGACCUCACCAAGGAGUUGUUGUGAUUAGUUGCCAAGAAGCAUCAAGAAUCAAAUACAAUUGUUAAUGUUUAAGGGUUUUCCUGUUUAUUUCUACAAACAUACAGGAUAAACACUGUCAGCUCAAAGUAAACUAUAGAGUACACUUCUUUUUUUUCCAAAACUAAUACCCUAUAAAAGCCUCAAAUAGUUGAAAACUACAUUUAAACCAAUUCAUUGUGGUGACUAGUACCAUGUGUGAAGACUCAAAGAAGUUUCACAACCCAAAGACUCUGCUAACUAGUUAAAAUUAUCAUUAAAAAGUUACCCAUGGUUUUGACCUAAGAUGAUGAAGAUCAUCCUAAAACACAUCAAGAAAAGUUGUCAACAUUUGGGUCUGAUCAACAUAAAUAAAACAGAUACAGGAUAUAUUUUUAAGAAACAAGACCUUCAGCUUAUAUUAAAUAAAAAAAGGAAAGAAAGGAAAGCAACACGUGUACAGUAUCAUAAAAUCUAAGCCAUCGCACCAGGGAUUAAAUUUUGAGUGACAUUCAAAAGAUUUUCAUUAAAGCAUCCAUUUGUUUCAGUCAUUUGAGAACUAUUUAGUCACUUAACUCUCCCAGCUGAAUUUUUUUUGAAUGCCAAUUGACAGAGGAAAUUCAUUCCAACUAAAGAUAAAUCCCUACUUUCUCUGCCAAGAGUUUUCUUGCCAUCGACAAUUAUUGGUCUAGAGGGGACUUUUUCCUUCUUCUGGAAAUUCAGCUCCUUCUAAGAAACCUAUGUAAAAUUAAGUACUUCAUUAAACUGACAAUCUG